AUCAUCUUUAUCUGGUUGUUCUCCUUUCUCUUUUUCUUUUUCUCCUUCAUCUAUUUUUUUUCUAGGGCCUCUGUUUUUCCACUCACUUCUUUAUCUCCUUUUUCAUCCUCUGUUUCCCCAGAGACAGAUACUUUCCUCAUUUUUUCUUCUGCCUUCUUUGUUUUUUCUUUUUUCUUUUCCCGCUCGCCCAUCACAAUUUCUGCUCGCUUUUGUUCUGCUUCCCUCUUUUUAUCAAGAUGAGCUUCCCA
rnacentral:lncRNA from 1 species